CUUGAUCGAGCCCAGCCACAGCGGCCGGUCGCCGGGGCGGUUCUGCCCGUACGUCGCCAGCAGCGCCUGCGCCUC
rnacentral:antisense_RNA from 1 species